UAAAAUCCUCCCGCCCCCCCCCCCCUUUUAACCCUUAAAGGGUACCCUGGGGUACUGGAGCACCCCAGACAAAAAAUAAAUUGCAAAUUCUCAGCCGCUUUUAACCGGAAGUACGUCAUCGUUUGUUUACCUUCCUGUCAUUAUGCUGUGUUUACAUGGCUGAUAGUGUCGAUUUUUUUCCGUUUUCGGUUUUAGCAGGGGAGGGGUCAUUAAUACUAAUACUAUAUGUUUUUUGCUUGAUAUUUUUUCCAGUUAUUUUCUUUUUUUAAAUAAUUCGGUAGAAUAUCCGGGUCGUCUCUAAGAAAAUUUAUAGUUACGCUAUAUAUUUUCUGAAUGCUCUAAUUCCAACCCUAAAACUACACACAAUCUAAAUUUGGCACAUAUUGCACAAUAUUUUUUUUGUGUUUUUAGUGGACUGAUUCAAUGAUUUCAUAAUGUAACGUCGAAGUACUAGUAUUGACAAUAAGCGUCGUCGCUUUCAAGCUAUUGAUGUUUUACGUGCAAUAAUUGAUGAACCAU